GGAGAAUCUGGUGUACCCUUCAUGUAUUAAAAUCUUGAGUGCCUCCAGCGCAGCCCUUAUAGCUUCCUCAUGUUCAGAACCUAGUACAUCACUAAGAGAGUUGAACACCACAGGGAGCUUAACCACACAUAAUUGCCUGUUAAUUGAAUAUACUUUUCUCAUCCCAAUGCCAAGCAAGCGAGCUGUGAAUGUCAAAGUAUCAGCAGAUGACUCAUUUGCAGAAACUGAAGUUGCAAAUGAAGCCAAGAGGUCCAUAAGCACUUCUGGAGAUACUUCUGCUGUUGGAUGGAUACAAAGAGCAUUCAACCCAUCUGUAAUGCGCCUAUCAACAAGAGGUUGAUGCAAUUCCAGCAAAGAUUUGAAGUACUUCAAAGUGCUAUUCAAGUACUUUGAAGACAUAAAAGGAAGACAAAGUUUCAGAGCAUCCAGCACGUGUAAGACUUCUUGUGCUCCUUUGGGUCUUUCAGAGGCAUUUACAGUUGUUCCUCCUGCAAGAAGAAGGGACCUUUCAAAGAGAUUUGUGAUUGCUUCACUAGCAGGUGCCAAUAGAGGAGCAAGCACAGAUGAUGACUGAAAGUUUUGCAGGAGAUCACGUAGACAAUUAUGUGACAUCUUCCUCACCUUUUGCCGAUCAUCUGUUAU
rnacentral:misc_RNA from 1 species